UUGCUAAAAACAGAAUAAACCGUGCUGAAAGUAUAAGCGCACCCUAGAACUGUAAUGCGAACGUGGCCCAAUUUGAGUUAUGUCAAGUUUUGACAGAUCAACAGCGAGGUGAGUAUUUUGAUAAUUCUACGAAAAUGUAAAAAAACCAAAAUUCAAUAUCAAUAAAGCAAAUGAAGUUAAAAGAAAAUAUUAAUUUAUUGAAAUAAAAAUAUAUAAGGAAUUUAAUGAAUUUAAUUUAAUCCUCAGAUAAAGAAGAAACCAUUAUUGCGUUGCAACAAGAAAAGUGGAAGUGGAAGCCCCGCGUAUUAAGCUAGCAACGCCGACAUAUUUAUUGUGGAGUGAAUAGGUACAAAUUGUAGUAAAAAAUUACACUUCUCAACAAGACUGGCAAUCAAAUCGCUCUAUUCCGAUGGCUUAUAUCCUCAUUUUAAACCCUGUAGGAAUGAGAAGGGCCGAUUGAGGAUGUGUUUAUAAAUAAUAAAAUAAGAACUAUCUUAAUUUUCGCUUUUUCUAAUUUAAAUUGUAAGUCUCUGGAAUUCAAUUGAAAUACCUUCCUUCAUUCAUGAUUUAUUGCUUUUAAUGCCGUCAAUAUCUUCAGUUCAAUUCUGCCUCUUGUUACCAUUGAAAAAGGAGACAAGUUCGGAAAAUUUGCUGGCGAUGGUAUUUGGCUGGACGAAGAAAAAACAUCGCCUUUUUCUCUUUAUCAAUUCUUUUUGAAAAUGCCAGAUUCUGAAGUCGAGAAUCUUCUCAAGUUGUUCACGUUGUUCAAGUAGUUUUAUCCCACUGGAAGAAAUUGCUUUACUCAUGGAACAACACAAAAAAUCACCAGAGAAGAGAAAAGAACAAACGAUUCUUGCUGAAGAUGUGACGCUCUAGUCCAUGGAGAGGUACGUCUAAAACAAGACGAAAAAGUCAGAGGUGUUUUAUAAGGGAAAUGUUGAAGGACUAGGUGAACUGAAUUACAACGAAAUCCGAUCCUUGAGAUUUUUUCAGAGCCUGGACUAUCCAUUCUUGAUCUGGCACUAAAAGCUUAAUGUUUUACAACAGAGACUGAUACGAUGAGAAUCAUCACAGCUGGAGGGUUCUAUAUCAAGCAAUAGCGAACUCAAAACUUCGCACUAACAUCAUACUAACUCAUCACCACAAACAUCACAUACCAUUUCUAUCUAUUAGUUCAAAAUGUUAAAUGUUUCCUUUUUGUUGGCAAG